rnacentral:rRNA from 1 species
AGGAAAAGAAACCAACCGGGAUUGCCUUAGUAACGGCGAGUGAAGCGGCAAAAGCUCAAAUUUGAAAUCUGGUACCUUCGGUGCCCGAGUUGUAAUUUGGAGAGGGCAACUUUGGGGCCGUUCCUUGUCUAUGUUCCUUGGAACAGGACGUCAUAGAGGGUGAGAAUCCCGUGUGGCGAGGAGUGCGGUUCUUUGUAAAGUGCCUUCGAAGAGUCGAGUUGUUUGGGAAUGCAGCUCUAAGUGGGUGGUAAAUUCCAUCUAAAGCUAAAUAUUGGCGAGAGACCGAUAGCGAACAAGUACAGUGAUGGAAAGAUGAAAAGAACUUUGAAAAGAGAGUGAAAAAGUACGUGAAAUUGUUGAAAGGGAAGGGCAUUUGAUCAGACAUGGUGUUUUGUGCCCUCUGCUCCUUGUGGGUAGGGGAAUCUCGCAUUUCACUGGGCCAGCAUCAGUUUUGGUGGCAGGAUAAAUCCAUAGGAAUGUAGCUUGCCUCGGUAAGUAUUAUAGCCUGUGGGAAUACUGCCAGCUGGGACUGAGGACUGCGACGUAAGUCAAGGAUGCUGGCAUAAUGGUUAUAUGC